rnacentral:rRNA from 1 species
GUACGGGAGGCAGCAGUGGGGAAUAUUGGACAAUGGGCACAAGCCUGAUCCAGCCAUCCCGCGUGAAGGAUUAAGGCCCUCUGGGUUGUAAACUUCUUUUCUUGGGGAAUAAAUGACGGAAUUCAUUCUGUCUUGAAGGUACCCGAGGAAUAAGCACCGGCUAACUCCGUGCCAGCAGCCGCGGUAAUACGGAGGGUGCAAGCGUUAUCCGGAUUCACUGGGUUUAAAGGGUGCGUAGGUGGCUUUGUAAGUCAGUGGUGAAAGCCCGCAGCUCAACUGCGGAACUACCAUUGAUACUGCUUAGCUUGAAUUAGGUCGAGGUGGAUGGAAUAAUACAUGUAGCGGUGAAAUGCUUAGAUAUGCAUUAGAACACCGAUUGCGAAGGCAGUUCACUAGGCCUAUAUUGACACUGAGGCACGAAAGCGUGGGGAUCAAACAGGAUUAGAUACCCGGGUAGUCC